rnacentral:rRNA from 1 species
GACGAACGCUGGCGGCGUGCUUAACACAUGCAAGUCGAACGGAAAGGCCCUGCUUUUGUGGGGUGCUCGAUUGGCGAACGGGUGAGUAACACGUGAGUAACCUGCCCUUGACUUUGGGAUAACUUCAGGAAACUGGGGCUAAUACCGGAUAGGAUCUCCUGCUGCAUGGUGGGGGUUGGAAAGUUUCGGCGGUUGGGGAUGGACUCGCGGCUUAUCAGCUUGUUGGUGGGGUAGUGGCUUACCAAGGCUUUGACGGGUAGCCGGCCUGAGAGGGUGAACGGCCACAUUGGGACUGAGAUACGGACCAGACUCCUACGGGAGGCAGCAGUGGGGAAUAUUGCACAAUGGGCGGAAGCCUGAUGCAGCAACGCCGCGUGCGGGAUGACGGCCUUCGGGUUGUAAACCGCUUUCGCCUGUGACGAAGCGUGAGUGACGGUAAUGGGUAAAGAAGCACCGGCUAACUACGUG